rnacentral:lncRNA from 1 species
UCCUGUUGAUGAUUGGGUGUUUCGAUCUGCAAAAAGACCCCGGGAGAAAAAUAAAAAUGUUGCCGUACUAAAGCAGAGAGUAGAAAACUAAUUAUACUCUUUGUAUCCACCUGGAGUGCCUUGGUCCGCUAAGAGAUCGCUUGGGUGAUGUAGACGCUUAGCACGAACUUCCUGCUUCCUAGUGUCUUGUGUGCUGAUAGUUUAUGAGCUGAGCUCCCUGCUCCCUGAUUGAUUCCUGAGAAACUUGAAGAGAUAUCGUGGAUCGUAGUAUCAGAUUAAUUGACCCAGCAAGAGAUUUAGUAGGAAACGACGUGUACCACAUGAUUAUUUAAUCAAUACUCACUGCCUGAACAGCAAGUGCAAGUGAUGCUGGCCUAGGGUAUGGCCAUUGGCACCU